rnacentral:lncRNA from 1 species
AGGUUCAUCUAGAGAGUUCUUGUGAAUUUUCCAAGGGCUUGUUUCUUGAGCUGCACCAUCCUCACCAGAGAUGCUGGGUCACCGCUGAGUAUAAGGCUGGAACUAAGAUGACAGUUUCCCUUGGCCGAAUACGAUGCCCCCAGCAUUGAUGCAGAUGGACCUGGAGCCUGGCUAAAGAAAGGCUGGCUGGGCGUCCCCGAGGAUGGGGCUGAGAGGCCGGUCAGAUUUCAGCUUUCUCUGUGUUCCUUUUAAAAUAAUUGAAGUGUCAGCUUGGGUUCAUGGGCUGGUCACGGUUUCCAUCCCUCCCUAACUUCAUAAGGCAAGUCCAUGAAUUAUACAGUGCCGGAGCAGACGGUGCUAAGUAAGGAUGCAUCACAAGCUGGGCUUAAUAAGGACACUCCAGCUAUUCUUGGAAGGCAUUUGCAAGUCAAAAAUAUGGUGCAUGGAGAUCUGAUGUCGACUUCACAUUCUGAAGAUUUCAGCUAGGUCAGCAUUAUUUUAUGUUAAAUCCCAUCAAAACAAAAAAAUAAAGAAAUAAGGAAG